rnacentral:rRNA from 1 species
GAACGCUGGCGGCAUGCCUUACACAUGCAAGUCGAACGGCAGCACGGGAGCAAUCCUGGUGGCGAGUGGCGAACGGGUGAGUAAUGUAUCGGAACGUACCAUUGGAGUGGGGGAUAACGUAGCGAAAGUUACGCUAAUACCGCAUAUACCCUGAGGGGGGAAAGCAGGGGAUCGCAAGACCUUGUGCUCUUUGAGCGGCCGAUAUCAGAUUAGCUAGUUGGUGAGGUAAAGGCUCACCAAGGCGACGAUCUGUAGCGGGUCUGAGAGGAUGAUCCGCCACACUGGAACUGAGACACGGUCCAGACUCCUACGGGAGGCAGCAGUGGGGAAUUUUGGACAAUGGGGGCAACCCUGAUCCAGCCAUGCCGCGUGAGUGAAGAAGGCCUUCGGGUUGUAAAGCUCUUUCGGCCGGGAGGAAAUCGCAUCAGUUAAUACCUGGUGUGGAUGACAGUACCGGAAUAAGAAGCACCGGCUAACUACGUG